rnacentral:tRNA from 1 species
CUAGUUAGCUUAGUUGGUAGCGCGUCUGCCUUGUAAGCGCUAGGCCGCGGGUUCGAUUCCCGCCCGGGGCG